rnacentral:rRNA from 1 species
UACGUAGGGGGCAAGCGUUGUCCGGAUUUAUUGGGCGUAAAGAGCUCGUAGGCGGUUCCGUAAGUCGUGAAGUCAAAUCUCUGGGCUCAACCCAGAAUCGCUUCCGAUACUGCGGUGACUGGAGUCCGGUAGGGGAGUGUGGAAUUCCUGGUGUAGCGGUGGAAAUGCGCAGAUAUCAGGAGGAACACCAACAGCGAAGGCAGCACUCUGGGCCGGUACUGACGCUGAGGAGCGAAAGCAUGGGGAGCGAACAGG